CCUACGGGUGGCAGCAGUAGGGAAUUUUGCGCAAUGGGCGAAAGCCUGACGCAGCAACGCCGCGUGAUCGAGACGCCCUUCGGGGUGGAAAGAUCUGUCAGUGGGGACGAAACUUGACGGUACCCACAGAGGAAGCACCGGCUAACUCCGUGCCAGCAGCCGCGGGAAUACGGGGGGUGCAAGCGUUGUCCGGAAUCAUUGGGCGGAAAGAGUUCGUAGGCGGCACGUAAAGUCUGGUGUUAAAGGCAGAGGCUCAACUUCUGUACGGCACUUGAUACUUGCGAGCUAGAAUGAGGUAGAGGAAGAGGGAAUUCCUGGUGUAGCGGUGAAAUGCUUAGAUAUCAGGAGGAACAUCGGUGGCGUAAGCGCUUUACUGGGCCGUAAUUGACGCUGAGGAACGAAAGCCAGGGUAGCAAAUGGGAUUAGAUACCCCGUGUAGUC
rnacentral:rRNA from 1 species